GAAGCAUGAUCGUAAGGACAUGUGGAGCGCUUAGAAGUGAGAAUGCCGGUGUGAGUAGCGAAAGACGGGUGAGAAUCCCGUCCACCGAUUGACUAAGGUUUCCAGAGGAAGGCUCGUCCGCUCUGGGUUAGUCGGGUCCUAAGCUGAGGCCGACAGGCGUAGGCGAUGGAUAACAGGUUGAUAUUCCUGUACCACCUAUAAUCGUUUUAAUCGAUGGGGGGACGCAGUAGGAUAGGCGAAGCGUGCGAUUGGAUUGCACGUCUAAGCAGUAAGGCUGAGUAUUAGGCAAAUCCGGUACUCGUUAAGGCUGAGCUGUGAUGGGGAGAAGACAUUGUGUCUUCGAGUCGUUGAUUUCACACUGCCGAGAAAAGCCUCUAGAUAGAAAAUAGGUGCCCGUACCGCAAACCGACACAGGUAGUCAAGAUGAGAAUUCUAAGGUGAGCGAGCGAACUCUCGUUAAGGAACUCGGCAAAAUGACCCCGUAACUUCGGGAGAAGGGGUGCUCUUUAGGGUUAACGCCCAGAAGAGCCGCAGUGAAUAGGCCCAAGCGACUGUUUAUCAAAAACACAGGUCUCUGCUAAACCGUAAGGUGAUGUAUAGGGGCUGACGCCUGCCCGGUGCUGGAAGGUUAAGAGGAGUGGUUAGCUUCUGCGAAGCUACGAAUCGAAGCCCCAGUAAACGGCGGCCGUAACUAUAACGGUCCUAAGGUAGCGAAAUUCCUUGUCGGGUAAGUUCCGACCCGCACGAAAGGCGUAACGAUUUGGGCACUGUCUCAACGAGAGACUCGGUGAAAUCAUAGUACCUGUGAAGAUGCAGGUUACCCGCGACAGGACGGAAAGACCCCGUGGAGCUUUACUGUAGCCUGAUAUUGAAAUUCGGCACAGCUUGUACAGGAUAGGUAGGAGCCUUUGAAACGUGAGCGCUAGCUUACGUGGAGGCGCUGGUGGGAUACUACCCUAGCUGUGUUGGCUUUCUAACCCGCACCACUUAUCGUGGUGGGAGACAGUGUCAGGCGGGCAGUUUGACUGGGGCGGUCGCCUCCUAAAAGGUAACGGAGGCGCUCAAAGGUUCCCUCAGAAUGGUUGGAAAUCAUUCAUAGAGUGUAAAGGCAUAAGGGAGCUUGACUGCGAGACCUACAAGUCGAGCAGGGUCGAAAGACGGACUUAGUGAUCCGGUGGUUCCGCAUGGAAGGGCCAUCGCUCAACGGAUAAAAGCUACCCCGGGGAUAACAGGCUUAUCUCCCCCAAGAGUUCACAUCGACGGGGAGGUUUGGCACCUCGAUGUCGGCUCAUCGCAUCCUGGGGCUGUAGUCGGUCCCAAGGGUUGGGCUGUUCGCCCAUUAAAGCGGUACGCGAGCUGGGUUCAGAACGUCGUGAGACAGUUCGGUCCCUAUCCGUCGUGGGCGUAGGAAAUUUGAGAGGAGCUGUCCUUAGUACGAGAGGACCGGGAUGGACAUACCUCUGGUGUACCAGUUGUCGUGCCAACGGCAUAGCUGGGUAGCUAUGUGUGGACGGGAUAAGUGCUGAAAGCAUCUAAGCAUGAAGCCCCCCUCAAGAUGAGAUUUCCCAACUUCGGUUAUAAGAUCCCUCAAAGAUGAUGAGGUUAAUAGGUUCGAGGUGGAAGCAUGGUGACAUGUGGAGCUGACGAAUACUAA
rnacentral:rRNA from 1 species